UACUGUAUGCAUAUAGUGUAUAUAUGUAUAUAUACAGUAGAUAUACACUGUAUAUACACUAUAUAUAGUAUAACAGACAUGCAAGAAUGUAAGAAGAAUUAAUUUAUUCUGGUCUUCUCUGCCUCUAUCUUUCUUCUAAAUAUUUUGUUUUUUAAAAUUUAUUUAUUUUGAGAGAGAGAGAGAGAGAGAGCACGUGCCAGCAGAGGAGGAGCCAAGAGAGAAGGAGAGAGAGAGAAUCCCAAGCAGGCUUCAUGCUGUCAGCUCAAAGCCUGACACUGGGUUCAAGUUCACCCAUCACGAUUCAUGACCUGAGAUGAGAUUAAGAGCCCCAUGCUUAACCGAACCAAGCCACCCAGAGAGGGAUCAGCCAACAACAUCAUGCCAUUACUGAAAGUAAACUUUCUGUAAACUAUUGGAUUUUAUAGCACACUUGAAGAAUGAACAGUCUUAAAAGAAAAAUGCUUUGGGAUUUUUGUUCUCAUUAUUUUUGAUUACGUGUGUAAUAAAAAAGCUGAAAAAGAGCACAUUUUAAAGCUCCCACUCAAACAAUUGGAAUUCCCUAGAUGGUAAGAGGAAUCACGCCAAGGAAAACCCAGGACAGAUUUCAGAGAAGGAUAAACAGAGAAGCAGAAAGUCAACCACUUAAGAAAUGCUUCUGUACUGGAGACCAACUUUCCUCUCCAGCCCCUUCGGCGAGUCACUUAACUUUUCUGAAGCUGAGCUCUCUUCUGUAAAACCAAGACAAUAAAGCAAGUCUCUGAAGACCACAAGACCACAAAUCACCUCUGGUGAUUUCUUUAAGCUCAAGCUCAAUGGCAAAGAGGAGUUACUUAAAACAUUUGAUUGUUAAUAUCACUCCUUUUUAAACCAUAUUUUAAAGUCUGGCCCAAUAUUGAUGGUUGAUGUUUCUUCUCAGUUGUCUAUUAAUAUUGUUUCUAUUGUCAAACUUCCCAGUGUGCUCAGUUUUGAUCUCGAAUGCCAGAUACUAUGAAAAAGGGACUAUUUGAAAGGA